GGUUACUCAAGGGGAGGAGGCGCGGUCUGAGGUUUCUUCGAUUUUCCCGGAAAAGGGGUCAUGUCCGGGACAUAGUCAGUCAAGGUGGAGGACACAGAACAAGAUGGAGUCGGCCGGCGUAGGCCCACCCUUUCAGCCGCUAUUGUCCAAAGUCCUGGAGCGCUGAGGAAGAGAACAGAAAUCUGAGAGGGGAAGUUACUUUUGUUCUUCCAGUAUCAAUAGAUCAACUAGAUGGCCCCCAAGAGGAACCACUGGCACCACGUCUGAGGGGGAGCUGGAAUGCAGGUGUUCAUGCCGAGUCCAGGAAUGCCGGUUGGAAGGGAGAGAUGGUUGUGUGCACAGUUGAGCUCCUGGCACGGACCAGCCACUAUUCUAGGAACUAUGGAGGCAAACAUAAGACAGAUAUUCUCCACGUUUAGAAGACAGACAGAGGAUGCGUAUUGAGGGAAGACAAACCAACUGGGACAGACUUCGCUCCACGUUGCUUUUGGGGAAUACAGGAGAAAUUCCUGCGUAGAUGCCCAUGUUCACCUCCAUUCAUCUCCACCUGCAAAGAAACACACGGAUCUGGCUUCUUUGUGGAUUCUCUUUGAGUCCUCUGACACUCCCAGGAGUGGUUCCUACGUGAGGGCAUGUCACUCAUCAUUCCCCAACCGCCACCCUGGGGUCAGCUCAGAGCUUGGAGGAAGUAGCCUCUGAGUAAGAGCGCCACCCGUGGUAGACAUAACCCACAGCUCCAUCGGCCCAGAUCACUUCCUGGGUGCCUGUGUGUGCCUCCUUCUGAUCCCAGGUUCUGUUCACCUCACCUGACACUUUCAGAGCCAGUUCUCAAUUCAGAUGAUAAUCUAGCACGAAAAAUAAAACGACCCUCACCUAAAAGGAGCCACAGCGGCAAAGGUGUGUUAAACAAAGCAUAGGCACUUUGAAAAAAAAUUGGUAACUGGUCGAGAGGAAAGAAAUGUUCGGUUACUAUUUUUUUUUUUUUGGUUUUUGUUUUUUCCUGCUUGGCAUUGGGCUGUCUAUGUAAUAAGGAUGAAAUGGGCUUUAGAGGGACGAGGACCCAACAAUGCUUGAGAGGCUGGCUGGGGGGACAGCCUCCAAGGCAGAGCCAUUCAACUGCCUUCAGUCAUUUCCUAUUUUUAAUAUUAAAGGAAUAUGGAGAGAAACAGGACAGAACAUAGCGUUCUGGGAAACCAGUAAUCAAAUGGCCUAAAGCUAAUGUUUACUUUUUGGAAUGUUUUCUGAAGGCAUUACUUGGAGAUGUAAAAAAGAGAGAGAGCACCUAAUAAUAGCCUUUCAGUGGCGGAAACAGAAAAGCAGCACAGACAUGAUAAUUGAAUUUGGUUUGGAUGGUCAAAAUCUGUGUGAUCCUACAGCUGUAUUUUCUAAACCAUCCGCUUGACUUUUAAUACAUGUUCUACGUUUUGUUUCCUUUGCCCAUCGCUGCAUUUGAAAAUUGCCAAUUACCUUACAAGCCUAUUCAAUUUUCCUUUGCUACUAUUUUUUUCCUUCCCUCCUGCAAAGGAAGACGCUCGGCCAUCAUUUCUUCUCAGCCCUCAGUUCCCUCACCCAGCCGUCCAAGCAGGUCAACAGAGGAUCAGAGUAAAGCAGAUCCUGAAAACCUAUGAGCAAAAGAUCAGUAAGUCCAGCUCCAUCCCUAGGAACACCCCCAGGAACACAGGUUGGUGACCACCAACACUUUGCCCCACACAAUUCAAUGUGCACACAACAGGCAAAAAAAUGAAUGGGAGCAUCUGUGUGGCACUUAAUUCAAGGUUAGGUACCAUCUGAAUGAUAGAGCCUGGGUUCCAAAGUUGUGACGUAAUUUUACUUAUAUGUUUCGAGUCCUUAUUAUGUCUCGUAUAACCACCCCAAAAUCCUUUUCGGAAUCGUCCAAGAGAAGAAUCUCCAUGUGUCCCAAUCGAUGUUUAUUUGACCUUGGGUUACGAUAAAGAGCAGUGCCAUAUUUGUGCUAUAAUUUAAUACUGCUCUCAGAUGUUUCUAUUAUGAGUUCUGGACAUCUGGGAGCUCAUAAGAUGACUCUGGGAUUUGCAAAUUCUUCCCAUAUGUGUGGACUUGCAUAGACUUGCGAUGUUAAGAAAAUAAAAGCUCUAUUACAGCUGGA